GAAGCGGGACAGACCAUCGCUGCCAUGAUUUUAGGUCAUGGGGGAGGAAAGUCCGGGCUCCAUAGAGCAGGAUGCUGGCUAACGGCCAGGCGGCGUGAGCCGACGGAAAGUGCAACAGAGAGCUGAACCGCCAGUUGCCCGAGUUGAACGAUCGAUUGAAGCGAUUGGGAUCGGGUGAAGGUAAGGGUGAAAAGGUGUCCUCGUCAGAGGAGCCCCGCAAGGGGUCGGUAAGAGCGCACCGCGGCGCUGGUAACAGUCGCUGGCAGGGUAAACCCCAUUCGGAGCAAGACCAAGCAGUAGGCGUUGAGGUUGCUCGCUGAGUCUACGGGUAGGUUGCUUGAGCGUGUCAGUAAUGGCGCGCCUAGAGGAAUGAUGGUCACGAGUGGCAACACUUGGACAGGACCCGGCUUAUCGGCCCGCUUCGCCC
rnacentral:RNase_P_RNA from 1 species